rnacentral:rRNA from 1 species
UACGUAGGUGGCAAGCGUUUGUCCGGAUUUACUGGGCGUAAAGAGCGCGCAGGCGGUCGUUCAAGUCGCGUGUGAAAGCCCCCGGCUCAACUGGGGAGGGUCACGCGAUACUGAUCGACUGGAAGGCAGGAGGGGGUAGUGGAAUUCCCGGUGUAGUGGUGAAAUGCGUAGAUAUCGGGAGGAACACCAGUGGCGAAGGCGACUACCUGGCCUGUUCUUGACGCUGAGGCGCGAAAAGCUAGGGGAGCAAACGGG